GUUAAAGAAAAAAAGAAGGUCAAACACUCGCGAGAGUAUCAAAUUUCAACUACUAUUUCAUCCCACAAUCGUACCCCUUGUCCUAAACUUUGGAAACCCUAAUCUUGAAUCGCUCUCCGCCAACAUCCGCAGGCAAGAUGAGUCGGUCAAGUAGAACUCUGUAUGUUGGCAAUCUUCCUGGUGAUAUUCGUGAGCGGGAAGUCGAAGAUCUCUUUUACAAGUAUGGACCGAUUGCGCAUAUUGAUUUGAAAAUACCACCUAGGCCCCCUGGUUUUGCGUUUGUUGAGUUUGAAGAAGCUCGUGAUGCUGAGGAUGCUAUUAGGGGACGUGAUGGUUAUGAUUUUGAUGGACACCGAUUGCGGGUUGAGCUGGCACAUGGUGGACGUGGUAAUUCGUCGGCAACAGACCGCUAUAGUAAUCAUGGCCGUGGUCGUGGUGGAGGGGGAGGGGGAGGUGGAGGUGGUGGAGGACGUGGAGGCGUGUCAAGGCGGUCUGAUUAUCGUGUGAUGGUGAGCGGAUUACCCUCUUCUGCUUCAUGGCAAGACCUUAAAGAUCAUAUGCGCCGUGCAGGAGAUGUAUGCUUCUCACAAGUCUUCCGUGAAGGUGGUGGCACUACUGGUAUUGUGGAUUAUACAAACUAUGAUGAUAUGAAAUAUGCUAUCAGAAAAUUGGAUGAGUCGGAGUUUAAAAAUGCCUUUUCCCGCGGUGUGAUUCGAGUAAAGGUUUAUGAUUCAAGCCGCAGUCCAGGUCACAGAGGCAGGAGUCGCAGCCGAAGCCGAAGUAAGAGUCGGAGCAGGAGCAAGAGCAAAUCUCCAAAACCCAAAUCUUCACGUCGCUCAAGAUCUCGUUCUAGGUCCAUAUCUUCUCGCUCUCGAUCCCGCUCUCGAUCAAAGCCACGUGCUACAUCAAGAUAAUGGAUAUAUGCGGCUAUCUGGGGAUUGCAUAAUAAAAUGUUGGUGGGAUUUGGUUCAAAUGCAUACAAUAUAUGGUUGUGGAGGGUGCUAUAUUGGGAACACAGGAGAUCAUGGAUCUUGAUGGUAAAGCUGGAUUUGAAACUUAGUGCUUUUUGAAACCGGAACAAAUGCAGUAGAAACAUUUAACCAUGUCCCAUCAAAUGCUGUCAAGUUAACGAAGCGCUAUCCAAAAUCUGUGGAUUUGUGGUCCUUUUGAAUAUCAUGUUCAUUAGAGUUUAUAUGGCACUAAGGUUUUUUCUUUUAGUUUGGUCUUUUAUUGUUUGUCCCUUUUCUCUUAAAGGUUGUUGGUAAUUUUAUUUCUGUUGUCUGCUAUAAUAUUUCUGGGUUUUUCUUAUUUAUAAUGUAACUCUCACGUGGAAGUGGCAUCAAGGCUCUUGGAUCACUUUUAAGAGGAACAUGUGGAUAUUAAAUUGGGUUGUUUCUGGAACUUUUGCAGAUCUCGGUCAAGAUCCAGGUCUCCAGUACCAUCUCGGCAGAAACGGGGUAAUAAAAGCCCAAAAAAGCAUGAUUCCAGGAGCAGGAGCCCUAGCCCCAAAAAGCACAUAUCUAGGAGCAGGAGUCCAAGCCCUAAAAAGCACAUCUCGAGGAGCAAGAGUCCAAGCCUAAAGAAGCACAUGUCGAGGAGCAAGAGUCCAAGCCGUAGCCGUAGUAAUAGUGUAUCCAGGUGAUAUUCCAGAGCUGUGGUGAGAUUGAGGUGUAUUGCCCAUCAGCAUCAUUUGUGAUCAUCAAUACCAAUCUCUAAUUUUAUUUUCUUUACCAAUGAACCUGAGAUGUUUUCAACCCAACUUUUGAAUUUUUAUGAUUGUUAAAUUUGACCCGCCGUUGCUAUAUUUGUACUGUGAAUUCUGAUUUUGGAAAGAUCUAAUGGUUUGAACUUUGAAGACUGUUGUCGAUUUGCUAAAUAAUUAUGAUCUUUGUGGGCUUCAGGUUA